rnacentral:rRNA from 1 species
GAUGAACGCUAGCGGCAGGCCUAAUACAUGCAAGUCGAACGGGGUAGCAAUACCCAGUGGCGCACGGGUGCGUAACGCGUAGGCAAUCUGCCUAUCUCUGGGGGAUAGCCCGCCGAAAGGUGAUUAAUACCGCAUAACACCACAACACGGCAUCGUGUCAUGGUUAAAGAAUUUCGGAGAUAGAUGAGCCUGCGUGCCAUUAGCUAGUUGGUGCGGUAACGGCGCACCAAGGCGACGAUGGCUAGGGGAGCUGAGAGGCCGAUCCCCCACACUGGUACUGAGAUACGGGCCAGACUCCUACGGGAGGCAGCAGUAGGGAAUAUUGGGCAAUGGGCGCGAGCCUGACCCAGCCAUGCCGCGUGACGGAUGAAGGCCUUCUGGGUUGUAAACGUCUUUUGCCCGGGAAGAAAAAACUCUUGCGAGAGGAAUCGACGGUACCGGGUGAAUAAGCACCGGCUAACUCCGUGCCAGCAGCCGCCGUAAGAC